AUCAGCGGCCGCUGCUUCCGGUGUCGCAUUGUGGCCCCGGGACUGUUGUGAUGUUAGUUGGCUAAAAUGUUGGAAUGGACGUUUAGCUUCGAACUGACCGUCAGAAGCGUCUUCUCGUGAAUGCUUCGUAAUUUCCCGGUCGGGACAAGCCGAAAUGGACUCUCCGUCCCCCCCGAGAGAAUCCUAGCGGUGACACAUCGUGGACCGAACCGUGGCUCUCCUCCCUUCCUAUGACACAGCCAAUAUAUGCCCAGCUAGAUUCGGUUGAAUCGCUGUUGGACGAACUCCCAUAUAUGUUUUAUCUGGGCCUGUUCUUCGUCAACGUCCUCAUUCUCUACUACGCCUUUCUGAUGGAGUACAUCGUCCUGAAUGUGGGGAUCGUGUUUCUGCCCGAGGACAUGGACCAGGCGCUGGUGGAGCUCGGGGUGCUGUCCGAUCCGGCCUCCGUGCCCUAUGACACGGACACGGAGCUGGAUGUGUUCGAGGGCUACCUGGAGUGACUCGUCAGAAGACGGGCCCGGGGGGGACGGAUUGGACCGGUGAGGACACCAGCUAGUCGUUCACGUGGUCACCAACACCGGUGGAAGAGUUCUCUCGGCUCAAAACACGUUAUCGCAGGAAGAGCUUCAGCGCCGUCGGCCGCACGAUCAGCGCUCGCCCCACCGGAGGAGGAUCAGCUGUCCGUCCGAGCUGCAAUCUAGCGGUCGCACGCCUCGGGGGUCAGCGCUGACCUCCCGUGUCCUUCACUGCGGACAUCAGGACAAAUGUUAAAGGCGUGCACUUAAGUAGAAGGAGACAGCUGAGAGGGAAACAAAUGUUACUAGAGAUGUGGCGCUGGACUCGGAGGUCUGCGUUUGAGCCAGUUCAGGUCCAGCGGUCCGAGUAUGACGUGGAAACGUCCAUCCGGGCUGUGCAGGAACCGGGGAUGGACGGCCCCAAAGAAGUGUGACCUUCCAGAAGAACUGGCACAGAGCGGAAACACGAGGUCCGCUGUCGGUCUGUUGCUUCCUUAACCAUUGAGUACCACAAAUCACAAGUUUCAUUCAUCUUCAAUGUUCAGAAUGCAUUGCUACUUCAGAACUGAGGUGUAGGAGAGUCCCACAAAACACUCAUCACUGUGAGCCCGAACGUAAUCGAGGAUCCAGGGAUGUUAUUUAUUUGAUUCAGUCGGCCUUCUGGUGGUCGAUAUCAUAUUAUUAGUUGAGGUCUUGUGCACAUGCAUUUGUAACAGCAGGAGCUACGACGACCGCGAUCACAGCUGACCGGCAUGUGUCCACCUGAUUCCAGCACGAGUUGUGUCGAAAGGCCGAAAGAGAACCCACGAGAUGUGCUUCAGAUAUUUGACUUUCUCAACCCGCCAUUUUGUCAUUCAUGUUUGUUAGUAUUCAUUUUACAAGUAGACAGGUACAAAAACACUCAACGCAUGAUAUGGAUUGCGUGUUUUCUAUCCACUUUCUUCUCUUCGGUUUGUACGGAUGUAGAAAUGUUAAUAAGAUGUACAUCCUUGGCAGCAAUAAUGAACGGGUUCAUGCAAUGAGGCGAUUCCAUAGCAGACGUGUGUGAUCCGGGGGAAGGGCUGUACAUGCUGCAGGUCGGUGAGGAGCACCAGCAAACUCACUAGGUAUUGAAUUGUUGGCAACAGAGAAAAUCCAGUGUUUUUUGCUGCAUGCAACACCUCCCUCAGAAUAAGCAAAUCGUGCAUAAUAAUCAUAGUAAUGAGGUCGUUGUUCACCAAAUAACCAAAAACAUUUGUACAAAUUCGCGUUUCAUUCUCUAAGCAUUAGUCGAGACGACUGACUGACAAUAACUCAUCUGAAGAAGCCUCAAUCACACUAAAGCUCAGGAUACCGAUAGUUAUACGUAUUGCAAAACAUGUUUGGAAUUUGAUCAAAGGCCAAUGGCUCGAUACCAGGAAAGGCUCCCUGCGGAUGGGCAGUGUGGAACCGUCGUUCUGAGGGUGGAGGGAGGGAGGGAGGGGGCAUUAGCGGGCGGAUGUCAGUAUGAUGGGAUGGAAAGUUCAACUCUGGAAAAGUUUCAUGAGACUGUGCCAUUUUCCCUGCAUGAUGCCACACUGCUCGUGAGACGCCCUCCUCCCCCCUGGACCUCACAGGGACUGGGACUGAUCGUCAUCAGGCAACCUACACCUGCCCCCCCGCCAACCCCGCCCCCUCCGCCACCCCCUCCCCUCCUCCACAUCUGCUGCUUUGCAGACGUUCACAUUCGCAUUUAAUAAACUUUGAGCGAAGGCUUUUUUCUCGCCACUUCCUCUAUUGUGUUGCAGCCGACGGAGAAGUUAAAUGUUGAUCUUGAUGAAACUUGAGGCCAUGUGCUCGUUUGGAUGUCACACUACAUUCUGUCCACUAGAUGGCGUCAGCUCACUGAAAUUAUGUCAACUACCGAUGUAACGUGUGAUCCGGGCAGCAAGUUUACCAAGAUGUUAGAAAGGCAUGAAACUAUUUCACAUAGUUAAAUACACAAGAAUACAUUUGCAUAAUGUUUCACUUUUUUAUUUGAAAAUAUGGUCAGAUAAAUAUAGAACUGUAAGUCUUAAUUAGUAUGUAUCAGGAUAUUUUGUCUUAAAAAAAGCUCCCAAAACUGUGUCCUUAAUUUUCUGUUACACACUAUAGCAAUUGAUUAAUUAUUUUUUAUAAUUAUAUUAAAAUUGUGUCUUCCCUGACUCUGUAAACGCAUUGGCGUAAAUAUAAAAAAGCACCAUGAUGAACUUAGUGUUGCUGCGUUUGGACACUAAAACAGUGAAAAGGUCAGUUUGCAGCAAAAUAGAGAACUGACAUUUUAUAAAAAAGGAAGCCAAAAGAAGUGCUUGACAAACAAGUGAACUCCGUAAACAUAUCAAAUUAUUAGAGAAAAAGAGGAAAGGAAGUAAGAAACCUUGCGACAUCCCUUACGUUCAUUUUAAAGUGCGUGUGAUUGUUAAGCAACGUCUCAUUUACAGCAACAGAAGUGUCAAUAAACAGCAAACAAA